rnacentral:misc_RNA from 1 species
AUGAAAUGAAUGUCAAGGGUUGUAGCUGGCCUCAUAGGGGCAUGUGCACACCUUGAUUGCUCAUCCACUUCUCACACCUGUGCACAACCUGUAGCUUGGGAUGAUCACGAAGUCGGAGACGACGUCGAAAGCCCUUGCUAUGAAUUUUUACACACAUGUAUAAAGUUAUAGAAUGUACAAAGUUAUAGCGUGUAGCAGCGCAAAUAAAUA